GGGUGUAUAGCUUAGUGGAAGAGAACAUGCUUAGCAUGCACAAGGUCCUGGGUUCAAUCCCCAGUACUAUCA
rnacentral:tRNA from 1 species